GUAAAUAUAAUUUAAUUAAAAUAUUAGAUUGUGAAUCUAAACAUAGAAAUUCACCCCUUCUUAUUUACC
rnacentral:tRNA from 1 species